UAUCCAACUUGGAUCUUGGAUGCUUACAGACGCUGGCUUCAUGAACUUGGACUCCAAAAAGAUGAGCAGAAAUUGGGCGGACCAGAAAUGAAUCACACAUAGGACAACAUUGGACUGUAGUAAGGCCGAGACGCAGAAUUAUCCAGAUGGGUGCCCAUUUUAUUUGGAUUGUUUUCAUGGUAACGUCCGGUUGGUUGAGGGACAGUCAAGCUGAUUUUUGUACCCCAUCAUCAGUUUCGACUUACGAUUGCGUCUUUCCAGACGGGUUUGAGAAACAGGCUCGCUUUGAUUCAUGCAACCGAACCAAUACGUGUCUCAACCCAUUAUUGCCUACUGUGGCAACCGGGGAAUGCAACGGCGUAACGACACAGAUAUGCU